CAAAAAUCUAGAAGAUGUCUUCAUUGAAUGUCUUGAAUUCUCUCUCUACUCUAAAGCAAGAAAACCUGGAAAGAGUAGAGGAUAAUUCAUGCAUGCUCUUUGCAUGAGAAAGACAAGACAGAACUCUAACAGAGAACCUCAAAGAAGCAUCCUUGGUCUACACCACAGUGGAUUCUGAGGAGAAUGGCCUGCAGUAUCUGGACAGGCGGUGAGAAGGAGAGAACUUGGGUGGAGAGGCCAAAGGACAGAGGUGAAACAGAGUCUGCACAUAAUUUGUAGUGUUCCUCAAGAGAUCGCUUCUGCAACUUGGGAGUUAUAAGUCACAGAAUGCAAAAGGCUGAAGCUGUGGCCAGUUGAACAGAUGAAAGGAUUGAGUUCCAAGAACAGCAUGAGUUGAAAAGAAACGUGGAGGGAGACAAAACAGAAAGAAACUUCACAACGUUAUCGUGGAAGGAAGUCAGUGAUGGGGAGCGACAACAGAGAAAAACGUGUUCUCGUGUUCUCAUAUUCUCCAUGAUUUAUUCAACCUUAAACCUUAUGGCAAGUUGAAAU
rnacentral:lncRNA from 1 species